AUCACCGUCGGGAGAGUCUGAUCAUCGCGCACAGCCACACAAUAUGUCUGGCCUCUGUGGAUCCUCCACACGAAGCUCCCGGUCUGAUCGACUCCUAACAAGUGCCAGCUCAUUGUAAAGCUCUUUUGUCGGCGGAUGCUGAUCGAACUCCUUCGAUCGAUGUCGGUUGAUUUUUUGGAUGCUCUGAAUUAUUAACAGACGUGCUUGAGAGGAUGUUGAAGAUCUCCCUGAGAUUUUGUGGGCUCACGACACUCGUAGCUCACUUUCUCACUUCCCGAACCCCAGGCUAAAACUCUAAGGAACUCACCGAAAACCUUGCACCCACUUUUCUUUCUUUUCUUUUUUUUCUCUUGGAAGGAUAUGGACUUCCUUCUCACGCACAAGACUUCUCACGCCCU
rnacentral:lncRNA from 1 species